rnacentral:misc_RNA from 1 species
AAGUCGUAACAAGGUUUCCGUAGGUGAACCUGCGGAAGGAUCAUUGUCGAAUAACAAACCGGGGGGCGUGCUUUGGCCUUGCACCGAUGGAGACGUCGUGCUUUUGCAGGCCUUUGUGCGUUUCUCAUCCAUAUUCAAACCCCUGUGCACCUUUGGGAAAGGCAGGGCCUUUCGAGGCUCUGUUGGACCCGACCUUUCACAAACUCUGUAAAUGUCAUUUUGAAUGUCCUGGCGGCGUAUGCUGUCCUAAAUCAAAUAACAACUUUCAACAACGGAUCUCUUGGCUCUC